AGUUCUCGUGCUUUUUUGUUUCACUCAAUUAGAAUUCCUACUCUUGCUAGUUUGAGAUAAGAAGUCAUUUGCAUCACGUGCAAAUUUUUCUAUCCAUUUAAAAGUCUGUGUUUAUUGUUUUUGUGAUCUCUGAUUAGACUGGAGUUAUUUAAAGCAUAGUUAUUUAUCCUUUAACUUGUUUUUCCGAACAUAAUUAAUUGAUUUGCUUGGACACAUACAUAUUACUCUUACCACCGCCUCGAAGAUAACCUAAAUUCCAUUGGGAGCCCCUUUCUCAUUACAAGUAACCCUAGGCCGAUGUUCACCUACAUAAGUACAUACAAAUAUACAUAAGAGGCAAAGAAAACAACCACAUACAGAACAAAGAGAAGGUAGAAAGGGUAUGAGUAAAGAGCAGGGGACGACUUAAGAAAGGCGCAAAGAAUCAGGUGAAGAGAGGAGUCCAGGGUCUCCACCUUCGGUCAUGCUCUCCCGCUUGUAUUGCCUUGCGGUGACCCCUGCUUCUCCCUCUCUACCUUCGUUUCGUCCCCCCCUCUGUGCUCCACUUUGGCUGCAGGUAGAGAUUACAAAACGGUUCGGCCUGUUUAUUGAGCCGCAGCAAAUGCAACGACUCAAAGGGGGAGCGAGAGCAGUAAAGAGAUGUGCUCAGACACAGAAGGGCGGCGAGCAGCAGCAAAUGCAAAGAGUCAAAGAGGGAGCGGGAGCAUUAAAGAGGUGUGCUCAGUGACAGAAGGCCGGUGUGAGAAGUAGGAAGCCGACACAUAAAUCGCUGCGUUGGCCCCUGCACACAGAAAAAAAUAAUGAAAAGUCGCCGCCUGUGGUGCCCCCAUCGACUUCGUUUCUGUUUUAUAUCUGGCCGAUCAAGUGUGGCUAUAUGUUCAAUAUGCAGUCAAUAGUAAAAGUGUAAUAAUGCGUUGUUGGAUUAAGACAGAUCUUCACGUGUGAGUGUGUGAGCGGCAGAGCGUCAGCAGAGGUGAUAAAAGUCACGUGAGCUGCAGAGUGGAGCAGAGAGCGGAGAGGAGGAGGAGGAGGAGGCGAAGUUGGAGAGGGAAUAUGGAGAGAACUCGGGUACAGGCGACGAUCAGCGGAGCUCAUUAGGCGGCAGUUGUUGUUAUAACUGUAAUGUGAUGUAAGCUUCGUGCCAAGUCUCUACAGAUGUACCAGUAUAAUAGAUAUCUGGGUUGCCUUUGUUACAGUUUUCCCGAUUCAAAUGGCCGACCUGCGAAACCGUAAAACUCCCCUCGCUGUGGAUGCAUUUGUAAUUAGCUGAAUUCGCAUUUCGUUACACGCUCCACAGCCCAUUCACAAUGCGAUGCGUCAAUGAAAUGCAUUCGAGAAGGAAGCGUCCGAUUAGGCCAACCCACACCCAUCGAGCCCACCUGUGCACUUUUGCACCUGUCGCUUCAAACUUGAAGCUAACGCACAACCGAUCGAUUGGUAUUAUUAUGGCAUUAUCGCGACUCAAGUUCAACGAACUAUCGCCAAGACAGUGGCACAAGGAGAACGACCAGCAGCCAAUUAAAGUCAAAUAAUUGGCAAUAAUUAACUUCGCAUAUCAAGUAUACGCAUCAAGUCCACAUAUCAAGUAUACGCUGCGUAGGCCCAAAGGAAGUGGCUGUGUCCAAAUUUUACAACUGCCUUAUUUUUAUGGUGCUCACAACGGAAUGAUGGUUCAAAAGCCUCAAAGGAAAGUGCAUUUCUUGGUCAUAAAAGUUUUGCCUGUAUACUUGGAAAUCAAUCAGCUUUAUAUAUAUGAUAUGGAGUGAAGCAGACUUUGCAAAAUGCCCACCCUGAGUGAGGUCGAACACCUGGCGCGGAUUGAGCAGAUGCUGGAACUUUCCCA